rnacentral:rRNA from 1 species
AACUUAAGCAUAUCAAUAAGCGGAGGAAAAGAAACUAACAAGGAUUCCCCUAGUAACUGCGAGUGAAGCGGGAAAAGCUCAAAUUUAAAAUCUGGCGGUCUCUGGCCGUCCGAGUUGUAAUCUAGAGAAGUAAUGCCCGUGCUGGACCGUGUAUAAGUCUCCUGGGAUGGGGCGUCAUAGAGGGUGAGAAUCCCGUCUUUGACACGGACUACCAGUGCAUUGUGGUAUGCUCUCAAAGAGUCGAGUUGUUUGGGAAUGCAGCUCAAAAUGGGUGGUAAAUUCCAUCUAAAGCUAAAUAUUGGCGAGAGACCGAUAGCGAACAAGUACCGUGAGGGAAAGAUGAAAAGAACUUUGGAAAGAGAGUUAAACAGUACGUGAAAUUGCUGAAAGGGAAACGCUUGAAGUCAGUCGCGUUGGCCAGGGAUCAGCCUUGCUUUUGCAUGGUGUACUUUCUGGUUGAUGGGUCAGCAUCAAUUUUGACCGCUGGAAAAAGACCUGGGGAAUGUGGCAGCUUCGGCUGUGUUAUAGCCCCUAGUCGCAUACAGUGGUUGGGAUUGAGGAACUCAGCACGCCGCAAGGCCGGGUUUCGACCACGUUCGUGCUUAGGAUGCUGGCAUAAUGGCUUUAAGCGACCCGUCUUG